rnacentral:rRNA from 1 species
UACGUAGGGUGCGAGCGUUGUCCGGAUUUAUUGGGCGUAAAGAGCUCGUAGGCGGUUUGUCGCGUCGGCCGUGAAAUCUCCACGCUUAACGUGGAGCGUGCGGUCGAUACGGGCAGACUUGAGUUCGGUAGGGGAGACUGGAAUUCCUGGUGUAGCGGUGAAAUGCGCAGAUAUCAGGAGGAACACCGGUGGCGAAGGCGGGGUCUC